rnacentral:miRNA from 1 species
CUGUCUCUCUCUCUCUCUCUCUCUCUCUCUCUAUAUAUAUAUAUAUAUAUAUAGAUAGAUAGAUAGAUAGAUAGAUAGAUAUAGGUAUAGAGAGAAUAUAUAUAUAUAUAUAUAUAUAUAUAUAUAUAUAUAUAUAUAGAGAGAGAGAGAGAGAGAGAGAGAGAGAGAG